rnacentral:rRNA from 1 species
UACGAAGGGGGCUAGCGUUGUUCGGAAUUACUGGGCGUAAAGGGUUUGUAGGCGGUUGAACAAGUCAGUGGUGAAAGCCCGGGGCUUAACCUCGGAAUUGCCAUUGAAACUGUUCAGCUUGAGAGUGUUAGAGGAAAGUGGAAUUCCUAGUGUAGGAGUGAAAUCCGUAGAGAUUAGGAGGAAUAUCGAUGGCGAAGGCAGCUUUCUGGGACAUUUCUGACGCUGAGAAACGAAAGCGUGGGUAGCAAACAGG